rnacentral:other from 1 species
GUUCUCGCUACUGCAAAUAAUCAAAUUCAAUUGGAAAGAAACUUCGAGACCUG